rnacentral:misc_RNA from 1 species
GAUGAAGAACGUAGCGAAAUGCGAUAAGUAAUGUGAAUUGCAGAAUUCAGUGAACCAUCGAAUCUUUGAACGCACAUUGCGCCCGGCAGUAAUCUGCCGGGCAUGCCUGUCCGAGCGUCAUUUCUGCCCUCGAGCGAGUCCAGCAUCUAGGUGCUGGGCCCGCCCGGCGUUGGGGCACUACGGGAAGCCCUGUGCUGUCCCCCGUAGGCCCCGAAAUGAAGUGGUGGUCCUGCCGCGGCGCCCCCUGCGUAGUAUAACAGCUCGCUUCGGGACCCGGUGGAGGCCUGCCGUCAAACCUUACUCUCUAAGUUUGACCUCGGAUCAGGUAGGGUUACCCGCUGAACUUAAGCAUAUCAAUAAGCGGAGGA